rnacentral:lncRNA from 1 species
AGCCCCUCGUCACCAUUCUUUUUCAAGGCCUUGCCCUGUGAGUACAACAUAGCUGCCGUCAUGCUCAGCCUUACCCACAUACUGAGCUGACCCAUCCAUAACCCAAGCUUGGUCUUUAAACAGGGUGCGUGGAACCUUUCCAUAUGGCCACGGGUGACGGGGGGAGAGAUGCUGGUGCAACUGUAGUGAGUGACGUGGAGACCCGGACUGCCUGUUUGUGCAGUUCGUGGUCUGUUCCUGUUGUGCUCGGUGUCAAAUGACUCAGGUUCAUCCUGUGAUAACUGGUAGCAGCUCCACCUGCCUAUGACUCAUUUUGUGCAACAGAACCUACUCACGAUGUUAAGCUCUGAAUCCAGGGUCAUUUGGCAUCCCUUUCAGGACAGAAAGCGCAGAAUUAUUUUUUAAAAGAACAACCCUGCAGCUGACUUGUUCCAGGCUGGAACCUGGAACCCGCAACUCACAUGGGUGCAAGGACACAAGUACUUGGGCCACCCUGUGUUGUGUCCCCACAUUAAGAGGAAGAAGGAUUGGAAGUGGAACAGCACAGACUCAGUGCACAAUGACAGAACAAGUGCUGCAGGAUGUCCCAGUGCCCUGUGACAGGAGCCCAGUGCUGCAGGAGGAGGACCCAGUGCCUGUGACAGGAGCCCAGUGCUGCAGGAGGAGGACCCAGUGCCCUGUGACAGGAGCCCAGUGCUGCAGGAGGACCCAGUGCCCUGUGACAGGAGCCCAGUGCUGCAGGAGGAGGACCCAGUGCCCUGUGACAGGAGCCCAGUGCUGCAGGAGGAUACCCCGCCUGUGACAGGAGCCCAGUGCUGCAGGAGGAGGACCCCCUGCCCUGUGACAGGCGCCCACUGCUGCAGGAGAAGGACCCCCCCCUCUAGGGGAGCCGCCCAUUGCUGAAGAAAAACAACCCACCGAUGGUGACAAAAGCUCUUCUUUU